AAAAACAAAACCGUCCCCCGAAUCUCCCUCUCUCUCGGCGGCAUCAUAUCGGGCGGCGGCGGCGGCGGCGACGGCGGGUCGUAGGGCUUGAUGCUCUGAGGUUUCUCCGGCAUCGGCGCCAUGGCUCCGCAUUACCAGGCCACCACCCUGAUUGCCUCCCCGUCCUAUCCAGAUGCCAUCACCUGGUCAAGUGACAACUUGGUGGCCGUUGCCUCUGGCCACAUCGUCACUAUCCUGAACCCAGCAGCACUUGAUGGGCCUCGCGGACUCGUUGUGCUUCGCCCUAGGGACCCUUUUCCCAUUGGAGUGGUUAGCAGGGAAGGUAGGUCCUAUGUUGAAUGCGUAUUGUACAUGUUAGAAGAGUGCUCAUGCAGUUUGAUUGGCACAAUGGGGUGAAAUAAUUAUUUCAUACUGAGAGUCUUUUGAUUAUGGUUGCAUAGUCAGUAUAAUGCUUGUGAGAAUUCAAGACUCGUAGUGUUAGUUUGGACACAUCGUGAGCAACUUGACGCUUUGAAACGAUGAAUUCAGUGAGUGCUUUUGUUGAGAUCGUCGAGGGCCCUCCAAAGGAUGAUGAUGAUGAUGAUGAUGAUGAUGAUUAAUAUACCAACUUGUUUCAAUCUGUCCGAAAUAUUGAAGAUUGUUCAGCUGUUCUAUAGUAAGAAUUUGUUAGCAUCGAUAUUAGAGUGAGAAUAGGAUAUGCUAGUAUGCUGUUCUAAUGAAGUGGAAAUGCCACUUGUUUGGGACGGACUACAGUGAAAGUAUCUGGAUGACAUUUAAGAAGUCGGCUAC